CGCAUGCUACAAUGGACGGUACAAAGGGUUGCGAUACUGUGAGGUGGAGCUAAUCCCAAAAAGCCGGUCUCAGUUCGGAUUGAGGUCUGCAACUCGACCUCAUGAAGUCGGAGUCGCUAGUAAUCGCAGAUCAGCAACGCUGCGGUGAAUACUUUCCCGGGCCUUGUACACACCGCCCGUCAAGUCACAAAAGUUGGUAACACCCAAAGCCGGUGGCCUAACCCCUUGUGGGAGGGAGCCGUCGAAGGUGGGACUGGCGAUUGGGACUAAGUCGUA
rnacentral:rRNA from 1 species